rnacentral:tRNA from 1 species
AAAGAUAAAGUAUUAUUGUACUUUUUAGUUACAUUAAAAAAGUCUCUUAGGAGUAUCUUUA